GACGAACCGUGCGAACGUUAUUCGGAAUCACUGGGCUUAAAGCGCGUGUAGGCGGCCCGGCACGUCCGUCGCUGAAAUCCCCCGGCUCAACCGGGGAAGUGGCGUGGAUACGACCGGGCUGGAGGGGGGUAGGGGGAGCCGGAACUUCCGGUGGAGCGGUGAAAUGCGUUGAGAUCGGAAGGAACGCCCGUGGCGAAAGCGGGCUCCUGGACCCCACCUGACGCUGAGACGCGAAAGCCAGGGGAGCGAACGGG
rnacentral:rRNA from 2 species